rnacentral:rRNA from 1 species
GAUGAACGCUGGCGGCGUGCUUAACACAUGCAAGUCGAACGAAGCACUCUAUUUGAUUUCCUUCGGGACUGAUUAUUUUGUGACUGAGUGGCGGACGGGUGAGUAACGCGUGGGUAACCUGCCUUGUACAGGGGGGUAACAGUUGGAAACGGCUGCUAAUACCGCAUAAGCGCACAGCAUCGCAUGAUGCAGUGUGAAAAACUCCGGUGGUAUAAGAUGGGCCUGCUUUGGUUUAGCUAGUUGGUGAGGUAACGGCCCACCAAGGCGACGAGCCAUACCCGGCGUGUGAGGGGGACCAGCCAGAUUGAGACUGGGACACGACCCAUACGCGUACGAGAGGCAGGAGUGAGGACUAAUGGACAGUAGGCGAGAUGCAGCAGCGGCGAGUGCGGGUGAGCGGAGAAGGAUUUCUAUAUGGAAUGCUCUAGUAGCAAAGAAGAUAAUGACGGUACCUGACUAGGAAGCACCGGCUAAUUACGU